GCAAGACUUGUGCUGCAAGAACAGAUAACGCUCCUUUAAAAACAACUGGGAACUCGUUAAUCUCCGACUUCAGUGCGUUCAAGACAACUGGAAUCUCGGAAAAACGAGCCCCGAAUGGGAAAAAUAUUUUUUAACGGUCAUCCAACUCGGAAUUCCAACUCGGAAAACUAGGGCCUCUUUCUAUAACUCUGUCUUUCCGACCUGAAGAUCAAUGACUUCAUGACUUGACCUCGUAUUUUUUCGAGUUCCCAGUUGUCUUGAAAGCACCAAUGGAUCAGAGAAACGUGCCAGUGGGUACCAGCAAGCACACCAGCACAGCGGGAUCAAGUGUUGCAAUGCAAUGGGUGUACAGAGCGCAAACGACAUCGAAUUGGCCAGCUAGGAUAUUAUCUGUUCAGGUGGUCCUAAGCUGUGACCUGUUACAGAUUUUUAGUGAAUCGUCCGGGAUCGGCGCCAGCUGCUGGGUGGAUGCUGAUCCAGUGAACCUGAUAUCCGCGACAGUUUUUGACGUUCGUGAGGGAUAGAGGAGGAGGUUGCCAUGUUGAGCGGUGAGAGGAAGAGCCUGAUUACGCUGUCGGAUGAGGAACUCUUCAAUAUCGCCAAGACAGUCGGUCUGGUACCCUAUAAAGAUCAGUCGAAGUUAGUGGUGGAAGAUGAGGGUUGUCUUGAGUACAUCAAUGCUUUUAUGAGGAGUUUGCUUUGCUUGAGUCUGAUGACCAGGGGAUAGAUGAACUGUUAGUUCUAAGAGAUUCUAUUGAUACUUUUGUACAGGGUCGCAGUCAAGCUGUUACACCAGCUGUCGAUACAAAUGCUAAUGCUGAGUCACAUGACACACACCCCUCACCCACCAACACAACCAAUGCAGCCACUCACACACUUCACACUGACUUCUAGCAGAUUCUUGUUACCUAUGAGGAGCUAGGCAGGAAGCUUCUCCUGUACAAAUACACACUCCAGAGUCAUACUCUACCUCCGGUACAGACACAUACUGCAGUACGAACUAGCAACAAUCUCACACCGUAGCCACCAGUCUGAGCAGGUCGUAGCACCUAGACAUGAGAAGGUAGUCUCCCUAAGAGACCUUUCCUACCUCAAUCACAGGGAGUUCAAGAUCCAUGGGGGUCAAAUAGGGGACAACACAUCACACGUGUGAGCUACAACCAUGUGUGUAAACAGAUAGAUGAGAGGUUGAGAAAGGACUUUAGUGAUACUGAGGUAGUCAGGGGAGUGUUGAGAAUAAUAAAACCGGCCAUUUUUAAGGACAUGUUAAUGAACAAGGAUGACAUGACAGUAGCUGAACUCAAAUGGUUUCUCCAGUCACACCUAGGGGACAAGAAUAGCACUGAGUUAUUCCAAGUGCUAAUGUGUGCAAAACAAAGUAAGCAACAGACUGCAACAGCUUCUCUAAAGGAUGAUUGGGCUGCAACAGAACAUCCGGUGUAUUGCUGAACAAGCUAAGACGGACAUUAAGUAUAGAACAGAGACAGUCCAAGGUGUUUCUACACACUGUGCAAUAGUACAUAGGCCUCCGUAGAGAGCUGAGGUCUUUCCUGUCAGACAAUGCCGUGACAGAUGAGGUGAUACUGAGACAUAUGGAAAUCACCAGUGAUGAGAAUGAGAGGCAGCGCAGAUUAGUCCCAACACUUCGCCACAAACUUACCCACGCUCAUGGUGUUCAGUUGGACAAAGAACAUGGUUAUGACCCUAAGAGAGAGGCCACUGAAUGUAAAAACAAAAGUAAGACCAUACAACAGCUCAGUGACCAGGUUGAGGCUCUGACAAACAUAAUUGGCUUUCUGAAACAGGCAAAACAACCAGAGCACUGUACUACAGGCAGACCGUUUGUUCCCAGGUGAGAGAAACCGUAUGGAUGUCCCAAAUGUGUCCAGCAGGGUUUAUCCAACUGUAGUCGUUGCUUCUUCUGCGGUGAGGAAGGGCACAGGUCAGUAGGCUGUCUAAAGAAACUGGAGCGUUCAGGAAACGGGAGCCGGUCACUGUGGAGGGACCACUCCAACACUAUAUAUACACAGAAGUAUGUGGACACCCCUUCAAAUUAGUGGAUUUGGCUAUUUAAGCCACAUCCGUUGCUGACAGGUGUAUAAAAUUGGGCACACAGCCAUGCAAUCUCCAUAGACAAAAUUUGGCAAUAUAAUGGCCUUAUUGAAGAGCUCAGUGACUUUCAACGUGGCACCGUCAAAGGAUAUCACCUUUCCAACAAGUCAGUUUGUGACAAUUGUGCCCUGCUAGAGCUGCCCUGGUCAACUGUAAGUGCUAUAAUUAUGAAGUGGAAAUGUCUAGGAGCAACAAGCCACACAAGCUCACAGAAUGGAACCACCAAGCACUGAAGCGUGUAAAAAUCGUCUGUCCUCGGUAGCAACACUCAUAACCGAGUUCCAAACUGCCUCUGGAACGUCAGCACAAGAACUGUUCAUCGGGAGCUUAAUAAAAUGGGUUUCCAUGGCCGACCAGCCGUACACAAGCCUAAGAUCACGGUGCGCAAUCCCAAGAGUUGGCUGGAGUUGUGUAAAGCUCGCCGCUAUUGGACUCUGGAGCAGUGGAAACGCAUUCUCUGGAGUAAUGAAUCACACUUCACCAUAUGGCAGUCCGACAAAUUAAUUCUGGGUUUGACGAAUGCUAGGAGAACUCCACAUGCCCGAAUGCAUAGUGCCAGCUGUAAAGUUUGGCGAAGGAGUAAUAAUGGUCUGGGGAUGUUUUUCAUGGUUAGGGUCAUGAACCUUAGUUCCAGUGAAGGGAAAUCUUAACGCUACAGCAUACAAUGACAUUCUAGACAAUGCUGUGCUUCCAUCUUUGUGGCAACAGUUUGGGGAAGGCUCUUUCCUGUUUCAGCAUGACAAUGCCCCCGUGCACAAAGCAAGGUCCGUACAGAAAUGGUUUGUCGAGAUCGGUGUGGAAGAACUUGACUGGCAUGCACAGAGCCCUGACCUCCAUCCCAUCUAACACAUUUGGGAUGAAUUGGAAUGCCGACUGCGAGCCAGGCCUAAUCGCCCAACAUCAGUCCCCGACCUCGCUAAUGCUCUUGUGGCUGAAUGGAAGCAAGUCCCCGCAAUGUUCCAACAUCUAGUGGAAAGCCUUCCCAGAAGAGUAAUAUCUUUCAUCUGAGCCUAGAUGAAAGUCCUUGUCCUCAGUCACUGAGGGAAGCCAAAAUCAUUCCUCUACCCAAGAGUGGUAAAGUGGCCUUAACUGGUUCAAAUGGAAAACCUAUCAGCUUGCUGCCAGCUCUUAGCAAACUGUUUGAAAAAAUGGUGUUUGACCAAAUAGGGCGGCACACAAUUGGCCCAGCGUCGUCUGGGUUAGGGGAGGGUUUGGCGGGGUAGGCCAUCAUUGUAAAUAAGAAUUUGUUCUUAACUGACUUGCCUGGUUAAAUAAAGGUUAAAUAAAAAAAUGAAAUACAAAUAAAUACAUUGCUACUUCUCUGUAAACAAAAUAACAACAGACUUUCAGCAUGCUUAUAGAGAGGGGCACUCAACAUGUACUGUACUGACACAAAUGACUGAUGAUUGGUUGAAAGAAUAUGAUAAUAACAAGAUUGUGGGAGCUGUACUGUUAGAUUUCAGUGCAGCCUUUGAUAAUAUUGACCAUAACCUGUUGUUGAGAAAACAUAUGUGUUAUGUCGUUUCAACCUCUGUCAUAUCAAGGAUUCAGAGCUAUCUAUGUAAUAGAACCCAAAGAUUUUCUUUAAUGGAAGCUUCUCUAAUGUCAAACGUAAAGUGUGGUGUACCGCAGGGCAGCUCUCUAGGCCCUCUACUCUUUUCUAUUUUUACCAAUGACCUUCCACUGGCAUUAAACAAUGCAUGUGUGUCCAUGUAUGCUGAUGAUUCAACCAUAUAUUCGCAUCAGCAACCACAGCUAAUGAAGUCACUGAAACCUUUAACAAAGAGUUGCAGUCUGUUUUGGAAUGGGUGGCCAGUAAUAAACUGAUCCUGAACAUCUAUAAAACUAAGAGCAUUGUAUUUGGUACAAAUCAUUCCCUAAGCUCUAGACUUCAGCUAAAUUUGGUAAUGAAUGGUGUGGCUGUCUAACAUGUUGAGGAGACUAAAUUACUUGGCGGUACCUUAGACUGUAAACUGUCAUGGUCAAAACACAUACAGUUGAAGUUGGAAGUUUACAUACACUUAGGUUGGAGUCAUUAAAACAAAUUUUUCAACCACUCCCCAAACUUCUUGUAAACAAACUAUAGUUUUGGCAAGUUGGUUAGGACAUCUACUUUGUGCAUGACGCAAGUCAUUGUCCUCCCCCUCUCUCCCUCCCACAGUGGUUGUCCAGGUCCAUCUCUCUCUGUGAUCUCCAGGGCCAGAAGACUCCUGCACUGUUCCUGCACUGUGGACCCCACUGUCCUGAAGUACAGGAGCUACAGGCUAUAGUUUGCGGUGGCUACAACCUACUUCAACACUGAUCUCCUGCCCUACGGAUUGAAUCAAGCCCUUAGCUACGGAUGUGUACCAGACACUUGUUUGACUAGUGCAUGGUUGAUAUUUGACAAGGAAAGGGGUGAUGUCUGAGGUGUGACUCUUUUUUAGUUAACCUUUAUUUAACUAGGCAAGUCACUUAGGAUGUUCCUGAUAUGUAUUCCGUAGUUAUAUGUCGUAAACAAAUUAGUUAGCUUCUUAUAACAUCAAUUGAAGUAGGCCAUGAAUGCCUAUGACCUUACCACCAACAUUAAGAUAAUACAAUACAACUCAAACUUCAGAAUUAAAAAGACAACAAUGUGCAUUUGAAAUAGUAUUUAAUAUGACCGACAACUUAAAUACUGCAUGUUCCUAGAACAAACAAUAAUUAGACCAAUAACCCCGUCUGGUAGGUUUGAAAAUAUGUAUUUUCUUUCUAACUUGAUGUCAGAUGUAAAAAGUCCUUAACCUUUUUUAGGCUUGCUAUCAUUCAGUUUAUCACUAACUUUUUUCAGGGGCAAUGCAACUUGAAUAUAAGAAAGAUCCAAGGAAUUUCCACAAAACCUACACACAGGAAUAUCUCAUAAUAUGUAUCUACAAAGUUUUACAGUGUUCUGUGUCAAUUAACUGGUUAGAGCACUCAGAGGAAUGAGAAAGCAUUUGAUGCAACAACUUUGAAACCAUUAUAAACAUUCUAAAACAUUUUAAACCAAUAUUGAUCUAAACAUUAAACACAUUUAAGAAAACGACUACAAAGGUUAAAUCUAAAAAGCCAUCGAAAGAUCAUGGUAUUAAAACAUUUGUUCAUUUCAGAUCUGAUUAGUUUUUACACACAUGACAAAAACACACAACCUCAUGUAAUGGAUAACACACUGCUAAGGGAUUUAGAACUACUUGAAAUAAAUCCAUUAAUCUAA